UACGAAGGGGGCUAGCGUUGCUCGGAAUUAUUGGGCGUAAAGAGCUCGUAGGCGGUCUGUCGCGUCGAAUGUGAAACCCCGAGGCUCAACCUCGGGUCUGCAUUCGAUACGGGCAGACUAGAGUUCGGUAGGGGAGUCUGGAAUUCCUGGUGUAGCGGUGAAAUGCGCAGAUAUCAGGAGGAACACCGGUGGCGAAGGCGGGACUCUGGGCCGAUACUGACGCUGAGGAGCGAAAGCGUGGGGAGCGAACAGG
rnacentral:rRNA from 1 species